AUGAACAAUGAGGAGAUGGAGUCCUGGGUCCUGCAUCAAUGGGUUUGGGGCAUGCCUUGGACUCCAGGACCGCCACUGCCUAAGCAUCUGCCAGGACCCCUGGCAACCCCACUGACUGUUUCUCAUCAAAACCAGCUAAAUUUUCCAAGGCUCAUUGGCAGAAGGGACUUACCUUUUCUCAUAUGAGACUUUGGACUUGGAAUUUUGAGUAAAUGCUGGAAUCAGUUAAGACUUAGGGGGAAAGUUGGGAAGGCAUGAAAUGUGAAAGAACGUGAGAUUUGGGAGGGGCCCAGGAUAGAAUUAUACAGUUUGGCUGAGUGUCCUCACCCAAAUCUCAUGUGAAAUUGUAAUCCCCAGUGUUGGGGAGGCACCUGGUAGGAAGUGAUUGGAUCAUGAAGGUGGUUUCUAAUGGUUUAGUACCAUUCCCCUAGUGCAGUCUUGUGACAGAGUACUCAAAAGAUCUGCUUGUUUUAAAGUCUGUAGCACUUCUCCCUUCUCUCUCUCUCUCUCUCUCUCUCUCUCUCUCUCUAUCUAUCUAUCUCUCUCUCUCUCACUCUCUCUCUCUCUCUCCCCCACUCCAUCCCAACCCCACCAUGGUAAGACAUGCUUGCUUCUCUUCACCCUUCUGCCAUGGUUGUAAGUUUCCUCAGAACCCCCCCCAGCUAUGCUUUUGGUGCAGGCUAUGAGCUGUUAGUUAAUUAAAACCUCUUCUCUUCAUAAAUUACCCAGUCUCAGGUAGUUCUUUAUAGUAGUAUGACAACAAACUAACCCAAUCACUAAUUUUUCAUAGAUGUUGUCAGUUGAAUGGAGAUUUCUCUUCCCUUUGUCAAUUUUGUAGCCAGGGCUUCUCAAGAGCAGAAGGGCAUGGUGUUUGCCUUUGGGCUUUCCUCCCACUGCUGCCCUACCUGGGAUGAGGGUGUCCUCCCCUAGGUACCAGCCAGAGGGAAGGCUUCAGGGUAUUGAAAGCCCAGAAACAACCUGCAAAGCAGUGUUGACAGAAUGGAAGACCACACCACAAUCAUCAGGAGUUGUCUGCUAAGGGAUGUGAUUUCCUCUUUCAUGUAUUAUAGCUUCCUCUCCAUAGAGCUCUUGCUAUGAAGUAGAUCAUUUUUUAAAGAAUAAACUUCCCUUUCUUUCAUUUCUGAUUGAUCACUAAGUGCAUCUCGGUGGGCUCUUGCUUUUCCUUUUUAUCUGGCAUAAAUAGUAUGUCAGCAUUCCAUUUAGAACAUGAAUUAAAAUUUGUAUUUUGUAGGGCAAAGGAGAAUUUCAUAAUAGCUAUACAAUAAAACCAAAUCCUCAUGGUAACCAGCAGUUAACCCACAAUUAAAUUGAGAGCAUGUUAAAAUAUGCGUUCGGCAUGGCUGUUCAGGGGCCAUGAUGACUCUUAGGACUCCUUAGUGCUAGCCAUGAUGAUUGGUGCUGCUCUAAGCCUGAGUAUUAUCUGUCAUCUAGGCACCGUUUUAAUUAAAUUGAUACAUUUUAUUCAAAUAUUUCCAGUAUUCCUUUACUUUUUUUAACUUACUUAAUUGCUGAUACUUUUACAGAUGUCAACAUUAGUCAAAAAAAUGAAAUGUAUAGGUAUAUUUUGUUCUCAGCUAUGUACUUGGUGAUGCUGUUUUCUAAAUGAGAAUGUGUACUACAUAGAAAAGAACUUGGUACUUUAGAUUUUUCAGAUAACUUGAAAACAUCCUGCAUUGCAUAGUAAUGACCUCAUAGGAUUGUUAAAAUGAUAAAAGAAAAGAGAAAGAGGAGGAGAAAAAGAAAGAAUGCAGGGAAGAGGAAAUGCUCUAUGACUUUUAGCAGAAAUCAUCGCCAUCACUUUAUUGCAAGGUGGGCCACAGAUCCUAUCGUUUCCCUUGUUUUAAUCUUUCUGUUACUAUGAACCACAGUUAGCAAAGUUGCAGAACCAAAAAUAAUAUUUUGCAGCCAAAUUAUUUCAUAACUAAUUUAGGGGAGCUAUAACCUCAAGAACAAAUACUAGAAUGACCAAAUAAUCUCAGUUGAGCCAAAUAACCUCAAUUCAAUGGAAGAAAUGGCAAAGUACAGGCUGCCAAUCAGGAAGACCUUGAGGAGUCCAGAUGUGAUUAUCUCAUUUUCUUCAUGAUGCUGAGAAAAGUUUAUGGCAUUUGGAUAGGUGUUACGUAAAUAUUUGUGUUUAGAUUCAGAGGCAUGGCUGAAUCUGAAUCUAAGUACAAAUAAGAUCCUUACAAAAUAGAAGUUACUUAGUAGUUAGGAAAUGAAACAGAAGACUUCGAGACCAGCACAUGAAAAAGAGCCUUAUAUGAGAAAAAAACAUUGAAUAUAUUUUAAUUACAUGACAAAAUAGGGUUUUUUCAAGAAAGCUGUUUGUCAAGUAAAAAAGUAGACAAUAAAGAUUCUCGAUUUCCUGCCAGCUAGACCAUAAGGUUUUUUUUUUCAGAAUAUGAAUACAGUUUAUUACAUUUUUCAGACUCCCGUACGACACAUAUCUAAAGCUGAACAUUGCAAACUGACGUUACUAGCAGCAAUCCUCCCUAGACAAGAAGGGUUUCAGUUAAUUUAACAAUUAGGAGUAAUUUAAAGAUAAACUUACAAGUCAUGGUUUUUCUUGUAGCAGCUGGUAUAUGAGCAAUGAAACUAGAGAUACAUAGAGUCAUUCAGGUUUAGCCUUGUCUAAAACAAACAUUAAUAAGUUAUGGUGCAGAGGGGUAUCCCCAGCGUUGCCAGAGAGAAGGCUGAUGUCUUUAGAUGUCAGUAUGAAAUAAGCAAAUCACUUUCAAGACAUGGCUUACUAUUUCCUUUACUGUCAGGACAACAGAAGAGAAGUGGACAGCUACCCUAGAUUCUCGCCCACACAAAAUUCAGCCAGAUCAUCAUCAUUUAAGUAAUACCUGUUAAAAUUUUUCACACUUUUUUUCACAGCUCUAAAAACACAACAUCAGACAUCAGACAUUUGUUCCAAAGGACUAAAAAUCAAAACAAUAGCAAUGUAUCGGAAAUCACUUUUAUGGCUUUCCCAAGGGAGAAUCCCCAUCUUUUCAGGGAGUGUUUUUAAGGAAGCCCUAACUCUGGUAGGUUAUCAAACUACUUUUUAUUCUAAAUAAAUAAAAGCCCAACUGAAGGUCUCUGGUGUACUUGUUUUUCUUCCCCUAGAUGUUUUCAGGUACUUGGGAUAAAGUAAGUGUUUGUCCAUUAUUUGUUAUCUGUAUGAAUGAACAUUGCAUAAGAUUGCCACUUAUAAGGAUAUUGAACCUCAAGACCAGACAAUCAAUACUCGGAGACUUUAGAGUUACAAUUCUGAACCCAAUCAAUCUCAUUUAAAAAAAAAUUUUUGACACUUACCAGUGAGGGGAUAUGGGGCUUCUUUCCAGAACUGACCCACAGCUGGCUCUCUCAGAGAGCUUGGAGACAGAAAGAACUAAGCAAUACGACAAAUCUUUCACCAUAAAUAUUUGAAGAGGAUCACAUUUCCUUAGUGUUUCUGUUUCCAGAAAGGAAAGGAAUCAGGACUAGUCAAAAUGCAAUUUAAUUCAUAGGGCUGGCCACGGGUUUUGAGUUAACAAUGCUGAUUUCAGUAAUCCCUGUCUUCUACCCAAUCUCCAAAAACCUAGUCCAGAUUCUUGCCUUGUCCCUUCUGAAAGGCCGGAGAUUGAUGAAACAACAGUGCAAUCAACCCCUCACUUUCUGAGUGAUCCAUGAAAUACAAAAUCACAUUUAUGUACCUUCGCUGAGAAAGAAAAGGCUAACUGGAGAGUCAUGCCUUUGGCUAUCUCCUGACUUUUUGGAGAAUGUUCAACUUUGCCUUCACAUGUUCCUGCCCAGAAAAGCCUGUUUCUCAGAGAGCCACACACCC
rnacentral:lncRNA from 1 species